rnacentral:rRNA from 1 species
UGAGAUUUAAAGAGCCGCAGUAUCCUGACUGUGCUAAGGUAGCAUAAUCAUUAGUCUUUUAAUUGGAGACUGGUAUGAAUGGUUAAACGAGAAAUCAACUUUUUUUGUUGUAAAGCUUGAAUUUAACUUUUUAGUGAAAAGGCUAAAAUUUUUCAAAAAGACGAGAAGACCCUAUAGAGUUUUAUAAUCAAGGGAAUAUUUCUUUCUUAGAUUUUUAUGAGAGGUAUUUACUGUAGUUAUUUUGUUGGGGCGACAUUUAGAUAUAAAAAACUCUUUAUUUUUAAAACUUUUAUGAAAGGUAAAUUGAUCCUUUAAAAAAGAUCAUAAGAAAAAAUUACCUUAGGGAUAACAGCGUAAUCUUUUUUGAGAGUUCUAAUCGACAAAAGGGUUUGCGACCUCGAUGUUGGACUAAAAUUAAGGCAGGGUGCAGCAGUUCUGCUAUAAGGUCUGUUCGACCUAUAAUUUUUUACACGAUCUGAGUUCAGACCGGCGUAAGCCAGGUUG